GAUGAGGAGGUGGUGAUGGUGAUUACAAGCACAUAUCUUAAAAACAAAUGUGUGGAAAAUUAAGUUUCUGAAUCUCCUCAUU